CAGUCGCCGCGGGAAUACGUAGGGUGCAAGCGUUAAUCGGAAUUACUGGGCGUAAAGCGUGCGCAGGCGGUUCGUUAAGACAGAUGUGAAAUCCCCGGGCUUAACCUGGGAACUGCAUUUGUGACUGGCGGGCUAGAGUAUGGCAGAGGGGGGUAGAAUUCCACGUGUAGCAGUGAAAUGCGUAGAGAUGUGGAGGAAUACCGAUGGCGAAGGCAGCCCCCUGGGCCAAUACUGACGCUGAGGAGCGAAAGCGUGGGGAGCGAACAGGAUUAGAUACCCCUGUAGUCCCUGUCUCUUAUAC
rnacentral:rRNA from 1 species